CUGUUGUGUGUGCUGGGGGAAAUACUGCUGGACUGUCUGGUGAAAUGAACUUGAAGAGCUCUCAAGCCCAUGGUCUGGUGUGCGUUUCAGAAGCUAUGGCUAUCCCGUGCUAGGCAACAACUGAUGUUUGGUUGGUUGGAUUUGAUCUUAUCCAAUGAAUGGCUGAGAAGUCUGCCGCCAAGAAGAAAGGACCUUUGGUCCAAUGACGACGCUUUUGAAGGUCUCAAGCGAGAGCACUAAGGACUGUCAGAAGCCUCGCUACAACCUGUGUCAUCCAUGGAAGUCCAGAAAUGACCUUGGGAGCGAUAUCAGACUCUAGUGGAUGAACUGCAAAAAACUCUCAGGAGGCAAGCCAGUUGCAGACGACAACGAUGACGAUUUACGACGAUUAACGAAGUCCUUGGAGUCCAUUUUGUUGUGAUGACUGAAAACAUUGGUGGCAACCAGAAUGAGCGUGGGGAUGAUCUGCUCCCAGACACACCCAAAGCUCUUUGGGUGGUCAAGCAUAUUGUGGUGCAUAGUAUAGUACUGGUGUUGCAGUACCAGGUGACUUGGUUGAUAGCAGGAUGCUGGAAUGAGGUGACAAGGAUCUUCAGCAUGUAGUUACCAUUGUUGUUGGUGACAUCAUUCCAAAUCGCUCCUGUCGGUGUGCAUGGUGAAGUUCAUGCUGCCAUGGACAAUGGUAAUGUGGAAUAGCUUAUCAUGCAGCUGAGCAGAGAAUGGAUUCUGGGUUUGGUCAUUGGGUCACAAAGAUGAACAGUUAGCUGAAGGAUUGCCAUGAGCAAGCUUUUGGUUGGCUACAUAGCGAAAAAAGUUUUUAAAGGGCAGAGUCGCUAACCCUGCCAAAAACCUCCUCACUUUCUCAUUCUGCUUGGAAUCGGCAAUGGCUGAGGUCUUUAGAUGCGUGGCAGAACAUUUUCAGGAAGAGUCAAAUUGCCCUAACUGCACAAUCUGAAUAUAUUCCACUUCCAGUGCCAAAUAUAUAUGUAAGUCAUUUUUUAAACUUACAACUCUUCCCUCUUUAAUCGGCAAUCACUCACCGAUGAAUAAGCGCCGUUAAACAGAAAUGUGAAAGUAAAUUUAUAAAGUGAAAUAAGUGACUACUACUGAGCAACGUGAGGGAAAGAUCAAGAGAGCAGGAAGAGUUUAUCCCUUUUCCCCUCAUCUUCUGCCCUUUUAUUCUCCGAGGCUUAGACCAGUGAUCUGUAUCUCGAUUGGGCCUGCAUAGUUUGAAAUGAUCCCUCCCAGGGGUUCCUCAAAAUGCGUUUGGGCAAGCUUAAAAGCGAGCUGAUAGUAUUCAAAGUGCUAUGACAAGCGACUGACGCAAACAGUUGCUGAGCUUUAUCUUAACAUCGGCACCUGGGAACGCAACUUUAGCGCAUUGCCGUCAUUUCACGUCCCUGAAAAAGUAGUAGUAGUGUUUGGAAUGACUUUCAAUGGUAAGUCGUUUGGUGAUUUACUCAAACUGUAACGGCAACACAUGGAGUAUUGUACUGGGGUCAUCUGAAAACUGUGACUUGUGUUAAAAACCCCCUGAGAGCACGAUGAAUCAGGCCAGUCUUAAUUGCUAACUCUUGAGAGUCACUUAGAUGAGAAGAUGAUUAAGUGUGGCAAUGUGGUUGAUCUAAUUUCAAACAGAUUGUCCUGGUUAAGGUACACAAGAAUAUGCAAUAGGAGAAGUUUUUCUAUUGCGAAAUCGGCAAAAUGGCAGAAUCCCAAAAUGGACGAUAUGCGACUGAAAGUGCCUCAGGUGAGCAUGUGUAUUGCUUUUUCCCCUUCAUCUUAUCAAUACCUCGCAUCACUGCUCAGAAGUUUCAAAGACAAAGCAUUUUGUUGCUUCUUUGACUGCUGAUAAGAUAUUUGUCAGAAAUCAGGAUCAGGAUCUUCAUUCAUUAGUAACACACACGAGGAAUUCACAGUUCUCCAUGCCUCUUUUGUCCCUCGUUUAUCACAAUUAAUUUGUUGCAGACCAGACCUUUCAUUCAUUCAUUUUCUACCACUUAUCCUCACGAGGGUUGCAGGGGUGCUGGAGCCUAUCCCAGCUUUAGUCAAGA